rnacentral:lncRNA from 1 species
UCUUUUUGCCUUUUCUGGGCCACUCCCUCGGCACAUGGAGGUUCCCAGGCUAGGGGUCUAAUCAGACCUGUAGCCACCAGCCUCCACCACAGUCACAGCAACACGGGAUACGAGCUGCGUCUUCGACCUACACCACAGGUCACGGCAACGCCGGAUCGUCAACCCACUGAGCAAGGGCAGGGAUCGAACCCGCAACCUCAUGGUUCCCAGUCGGAUUCGUUAACCACUGCGCCACGACGGGAACUGACUACUGCUCUUUCGGGAUAUGACCUCUCCGUGCACCUACAGAUAAUAAGGUUGUCCAUUCGAAAACAGAAAACUUAAACACUGAAAACAGAUGAAAAGGUAACUAACAGCAAUAAGUGAAAACACCUUAAAUCUGACCAUAGGAAAAACAAAACAAGACCUAAUUAUAAAGUAUAGCAACAUGGACCUCCUAUAAUACAGGAGCUGAUUUGCACAUUUUUUAAAAAUCCACUUGACUUCUAUUCUGCAAUGAAGAAGAAAGUCCAAGAAACUGCGAAAAUACUUUAAAGUCCUUGAGUCUUCUUUUUAUAAUCAUUAUGGCACACUUCUAUACUUAUUUCUUGGAGAAACUGUCAUUUAUUUCAGCUAUGGAUUUAAGCAUCUCCAAACCUGAUUUUGCUGAAAAUAAAGUUACAAAAUGAAUAUGUACAUAUAAAGUGCAUUUAAAUUAUGAGUGCCCUUUUAAUGUUUUCUAUAAAUACAUAUAAAGUCUGGAUAUAAUUAAAAGUGGCUUAAAGCAUAUUCCUCUCAUUGGCACCCUUGAAUUACCACCUAAGAACAACCGUUGAGCACAGGAAUUUCCUGAUGUAUAUUUCCCAAGCUUUUUAUAGAAAUCAAAUACUACAUUUAAGUAAACAAUAGAAAUGUGAAUUAACCCAACAAGAAUAAAAGAGAACACAAAAAUAACCGCAUUUCCACCUGCAGGGUUUCAUGUAAAAUGUAACCGCAUACCCCAGGUCCCAAAAUAUAUGAAGUACAUUCACAGCUGUUUCCGCACGACCUCAAAGGUACAACCCAUACUCACUACAGUAUGAGUUUUCCAUACAGCAGUUGACUAAACAUACUCACUGCAAUCUCACUCCUGUCCUGUUCCUUCUCUGGAACACGCUUCUCUGCCGUCUCUUUUUGUCUGGCUUUCUCUGCGGUCUCUGUUCAACAGCUGCAGGGCUGUAGCCCCUCUGGCUUCUGGUGAUCGGCCUCCUGGUGGGUGAGGCUGGUCCCAGGGCACGAAGGGCUUGUGCCGGCUUCCAGAUGGAGGGCCAUGUGCACGCACUGGAGGGCGGGGCUUGGCUGGGGGAGAGGGCCCUGUCAAGGGCUGUGUUUAGAGGCAGCAGGGUUUAGGCAGCCUGUCGGCAACGAGUGGGGCUGUGUUUCCACCCCGUCGGCUGUUCGGCCUGAGGUGGUCCAGCACUGGAGUCUGCAGGCUCUUGGGUGGGGCCAGGUCUCAUUUCCAAUUUGACAACCUCCAGGGAGCUCCUGCCUUGAUUAUCCCCAGGGCCUCUGUCUCUCAUCUCCUGCCCCACCGCGAGGGACAGCCGCCCCUGCUCUCCCAGGAGACCCUCUAAGACGGCAGGUAGGUCUGACCCAGACGCCUAGGGAGCAGCUGCCAUGCCCGGGGCCCAGCGCACAGGAACGCCUGUGCGCCCUCCAAGAGCAGAGGCUGGGCCCUGUCCUGAGGAGCUCCGCACACAGGCUCCACUGGCCUGCGGCGCCAGAUGCUCUGGGGGCUCCUCCUCCGAGUGCGGGACCCCCAGGCUGGGACCCUGACCUGGGGUUCGGAAUGCUCGCCCCCGAGGGGGACCCUCUGCGAUACAGUUGUUUUCUAGUCUGUAGGUCGCCCACCCGGAGGACAGGAGUUUGAUUAUGUCGGUAAAGUGCCCCUCCUACCAUCUCCUUGCGGCUCCUUCUCUGUCGUUAGGGUAGAGAAUUCCUUUGGGGCAGUUUCCAGUCUUUUCUGUCAAUGGUGGAGCAGUUGGUUGUGACUUGGGUGUUUUCGUGACAGGAGGCAAGCCUGAGUCCCUCAUUCCGCCUUCUUGGCCCCUCCUCGCCAAUCUCCUUAAUAAUGUUCUCAAACUCAGCUGUCCCCACUGCACUCCGACGGCCACCUAAGACAAGAUACGCUCUCCUCCUUGGGCACGUCCACCACAACCUACAGUGAGAGCCACCUUCUGUCUCCCUCACACGGAGUCGGACACCGCAGAAAGCAAGCAUGUCACGAGGCGUGCUGGCUGCAGCUCAGCCGGACCCUGCACUCGCCGUCUGGGUGAAUUCCCGACAGCAGCCACGAUGCGUCCUAAAUAAAAACGGCCUUCAUGGUUCCUGGGCAAAUGCCAUGCAGACGCUGGCCAUGCUUUUAUCCGCCUCUUCCAGAUAAAAUCCAUGUAGGAACGGACCCCAUCUUCAAAGGCAGAACAUUCUGCAUAAAAAGCUACCCCUGCCCUUUCCCCUUUCAAGUCUUCUCGCCUGAGUAAAAGUAAGGAGAGGGGAAAAGGCGGGCUUUGGGAGCAACGGGAAAGGAGGAUAUAUUUUCGGCAAUCUUCCAGACGUAUGCGCAAUAGAAAACUACCUUCAGUGCCUAAUAAACAGAAGCCUAUGCUGACAUUUACAUCUAAAGAUUUAACUCUAAAGAUGAAAAGUCAGACUCAAGAGAAUGCAUUUUUCCUAAGUAAAAUAUCUUUUAUAUAUUCACUAAUUCAAAAGUUUUAUUCAAGAAAUUUAUAAUAGGAGUUCCCGUCGUGGCACAGUGGUUAACGAAUCCAACGAGAAACCAUGAGGUUGCGGGUUUGGUCCCUGGCCUUGCUCAGUGGGUGAAGGAUCCGGCAUUGUCGUGAGCUGUGGUGUAGGUCGCAGACGCGGCUUGGAUCCCGCGUUGCUGUGGCUCUGGCGUAGGCCGGCGGCUACAGCUCUGAUUCGACCCCUAGCCUGGGAGCCUCCAUGUGCCGCGAGAGCGGCCCAAGAAAUGGCAAAAAGACAAAAAAAAGAAAAGAAAAGAAAAAGAAAUUUAUAAUAGAUUAUGACAAAAUUAAGCACACAAGUGAUCACAUCUUUCUCCAACACACCACUGCUGACGUAUGUACUGCCCGGUGAAAAUUCAGCUCCGAGACUGACCAAGCCUCAUCUGCCCUAGUCCAUCAAAAGAGGGUACAUCUAAGGCGGACGUUUCCACGUAAACUCAACAGGUAGCCUUCAUCGACAGCGCAGGUCCAGAACAGGCCUAUCAUUUGAGGAGGCCCACAUCUGUCCCAGUUAGGUCCCAGUUAAAGCAGCCUGGCUGUGGUGCCUAAAAGCCACCUUCACCCCUCAUUCCAGAGUUUGUCCUAACCUAUGUGACAGAGGUUCUGAGUAAAUGUCAUAUACACAACCCCAAGUCGUUAUUCUCCCUGGCUUCUGUAUUUCAAAGCAGCUGUCACUUGUACACAGUUAUUGAUUUUAUGACAUGACAUUUCAUAGAGGUUUACAUAAUGAAGAAUUACUGUGAUUAAUGCACUAUACUAACAGUUCUAUUGAUAAUAAUUUCAACUUCACAAAUUAACAAAGUUUUUUUUAAAAAAGGGAGAAAUUGGGUUACUAAAAUUUACAUCAAAAACUAGAAGAAGAGCCAAAAAUAAUUGCAAAUCUCCAACAAAUCAUCCGAAAGAUCAGAGGGGGAAAAUGACCUCCAAGAGUACAGCGCACAGGGCCGGGUCACAGCAGACGCUCAGCACUGUGCUGGCCAAAGACGUGCAAACCCUGCCACGUUUCCCCGGCCUCCACGCUCACUCGCGGGGCCCAGCCACACCCACUGUUCACACAGACCCACGUACUCCGACAGGUGGAUAAGGGACUGGGAGAAGCUGACUUGCUUGAAGGAGCUGGGCUUAACGGUUACAUUCAUGACAAAAAACACAGCAUUUCAUAAACCAGGCAAGAAACGCUAUGCUGCAUUAAAUACAAUGCAGAAUAAACCAAAUAUCAGAUACCAAUUUAAUAACAAAGUAACGAAAAUCAAAGUUUUGCCAAAACAUAGACUUCCUUCCCUCUGUUAAAAUGGAAAUUACCUGAGAUUUCGUAGACAGUAAAAGCAGUGGCGAAGCUAAAACAAAUACAAUUUCACCAUAUUGUUUUCCAGAAAGUUUAACACGUGAACUGUCUGCCAUUAAAAAGCACUGACCUCAGGAUGCCCACUCCAGCCAGGAAGGGUAUUAACCACGACGGAGAAUGCCUCUGUGGGAAACAAACAGAAAACGGACCAAAUCCAGGAAACACCUUUGGUCAGCUCUUGAGACAAUGGGCAGGACUGUGACCCCCAAGGAGGAAACACUCCAGGGAGCUCCACCUGCACCCUCUGGGGCCGGCUGGAAGCAACCCCACACCACGGAACAGAAGGCGGGGACUCCACGCGGAGCACGGCCGCCCCGGGAAGUGGAGGAGAGGCAGUGUCCAGCGUGGGAAGCUGAGUGAGCUGCACCUGCAAGGCAGUGCAAUAGAGACGAAAGAGGCACAGAAAACACGUCUCCGAAACCUGCACGAGGAGUCGGAAGAUGACGGACAGCACGUUUCGCAUGAGCAAAGUGGACACUGCCCUCCCGGAGCUCCACCCGCAGCAAAACUUCCUUUCAAAAUGAAGGGGUUUUAUCAAGAGAGGACGGACGGACAGACAGGACAGACUCAUCAGUGAAAGACUAAGCAGCGACAUCAAGGAACAUUCACACACUACCACACGGGGCCCUCAACGACAGCCCAUAAAAUGCCCUACACGGUCACACACACUGGACUCUUGCACAGACACGAAAUCCCCCAACAGGCCAAAGUGCCGUGAAGAAAAACAGCGCGGUGGUCCGGGGGACGGGGGUGGGUGGGGGGCGGGCAGGGGCUGAGAGCACCAAGGGACACAAAAGAACUUCCCCAGGAAACCGAAACUGAGCGGGACCCCAUGGGGCCUCCACAGGGUACAAAAGUUCUUCCUUGCCCCCCAUUUCUUGCAAUUUCUCACCUUCUCUAAGUCCAGUUUCUCAUCUAGAAACCGGGAAUAGCAAGUGCUACCUCAGCGAAUUACCACUAAAAAAUUAAGUCUCACUCACACAACGACUGACAGACAAACGGCAGCUGUUAUGGUUCUGACCACCUUCUUCACCCCAAAUUCCUGAACCACAGGUAGGACGGGCAAGAUAAGCGUGUGCUCCCCACAAAGCUUUGAGUAUGAAAGUGACACCUCACACGGCAGGCACCACACACAGGGGACCCGCUGAGCGAAACACAGAGAACCGUCCGACCACACCCAGACUGUCCGGCAUCGACAGAAGAGGUCCUGCAGCUGGCAGUCACCCAGGUCUUUGGGGACCUUAUCUCUUACGACUGUGCCUCAGUACUGCAAACACAGGGAUGCUUCUUUUCAAAAGGACCCAAUCCAGUCACCCUUGGUCUCGCACCACCUUGUCACGAAGGGCUUGCCCUCCUCCAGGGCGCGCUCACUGCACCAUACAGACGAAAGUCACGCUCGCACGCCUCAAAGAUGUUUCCAACCGCCUGCUGGCCAUGUCCCCAGUGCAACCAAGUGCAGAGGAGCUUCUUAAAUGUCCUGACAACCAGAGCGGUGCUUCAGCACAGUCUAGCACCAAUGAUGGCUUUAGACAGCGGAUGCCAAUUUUAGUAAGUUUUGUGGCAGGUGUUCUAUAAGGAUUCUUCCAUGAAUCAACAUGAAAUCAACAUUUUAAGAUUAUUGCUUGGACUCAAAUGUCCUGAACCUCCUAAACUCGGGUUUUAAGACAACAUUAAAAACUCACAACAGAUGUUUACCAACCUGGAUGUCACACCUCCCAUAAGGCUGGUUAACUCUCUGAAGGGCGCGGCCUGUAGCUAGGUUAAUGUGCACAAUCUAUGUACAAGCUAGGUCCGGCUCUAUGCUUACUUUCAGGCCUUCUCCACCCAGAACGCCCUUCCCCAGCCACAGCCAGCCCUUUUUAUCUCUCCCUGCAUGCUCCCCAAGAAGAUUCUCCCUGGCUCUGAACUUCCCACCACACUCUUCUCAGUGGGCACCUGCUACCGUAUCUCCCGCUCCUGCCCAUCUGCCCUCUUCUUCAAGCCGGCACCACCCCCAGCAGGCUGGGCAAGCAAUCUAUCCAGGUGAAGCGGGCCCGGCAGCGGGGUCAGGGGAAGGGCAGAGAGAAUACUGGAUCAGCCUUACUUACAGAGCGAGCAGAGAAGGUGAGAGCUCUUAGCUAGACCUAAGAAUGUGAAGCGCAGUUCCAAUCGUGGCACAGCAGAAACAUCUGACUAGGAACCAUGGGGUUGCAGGCCCAAUCCCUGGCUUUACUCAGUGGGUUGGGGAUCUGACAUUGCCAUGAACUGUGGUGUAGGUCACAGACGUGGCUCGGAUCCUGCAUUGCUGGGGCUAUGGUGUAGGCUGGCAGCUGUAGCUCAGAUUAGACCCCUAGCCUGGGAAUCUCCAUAUGCCGUGGGUGCUGCCCUAAAAAGCAAAAGCAAAAAAAAACAAAAACAAAAAAAAACAGGGAAAAUGUAGCAAUUAUAAGUCCAAGAAAGCAGAAAAACAAAACCUUGAAGGGAAUGUAAUCACGCUGUUCAUUGGCUCAACAGUGAGCAGUGUUUACAAAGUCAAAAGCAAUUAAAAACUAAAACAUGGGUCUAUCCAAAAAUUGUGAUUUAACUAUAGAGUGAGGUUGAAAGUGACUUUCUCUAAGAUUGAUACCUCAAUGACUCUUGACUGUUAGGAAACAGGAUACGAAUGCUAACUGGAUAUACAUGCUCAGCAGCUAAAGCAGAUGAUUCCAGGUGCCUCUGGGGGUGGAAGGCAGAGAGCAGGCAGGAGCCCGCUGCCCUCCACAUGAACCUUUCAGCACUGCAUUACUUCUGAACCACACACACGAGCCACCC